rnacentral:rRNA from 1 species
UACGAAGGACCCGAGCGUUAUCCGGAUUUAUUGGGUUUAAAGGGUGCGUAGGCGGAUUUAUAAGUCAGUGGUGAAAUCUCCCCGCUCAACGGGGAAACUGCCAUUGAAACUAUUUAUCUUGAGUACAUUUGAGGCGGGCGGAAUGUGUCAUGUAGAGGUGAAAUUCUUAGAUAUGACACAGAACACCAAUUGCGAAGGCAGCUCGCUAAACUGUAACUGACGCUGAGGCACGAAAGCGUGGGGAUCAAACAGG